UGCGUUGAAAAGAGCACACCCUGAACACGCCCGAUCUCGUCUGAUCUCGGAAGCUUAGCAGGGUCGGGCCUGGUUAGUACUUGGAUGGGAGACCGCCUGGGAAUACCAGGUGUAAGCCCAU